rnacentral:rRNA from 1 species
CUCCAAUAGCGUAUAUUAAAGUUGUUGCAGUUAAAAAGCUCGUAGUUGAAUUUCGGGAUCAAUGUUUCGGUCAUGCCGUUGGUAUGUACUGAUAUUAUUGGUUUCUCACCUUCUAAAGAACCGUAAUGCCAUUAAUUUGGUGUCACGGGGAAUUAGGACUGUUACCUUGAAAAAAUUAGAGUGUUUAAAGCAGGCUCACGCUUGAAUACAUUAGCAUGGAAUAAUGAAAUAGGACAUCCGAUUCUAUUUUGUUGGUUUCUAGGAUCGAUGUAAUGAUUAAUAGGGAUAGUUGGG